rnacentral:rRNA from 1 species
UNUUAAAAGUUCGGGGCUUAACCCCGUGAUGGGAUGGAAACUGCCAAUCUAGAGUNUCGGAGAGGAAAGUGGAAUUCCUAGUGUAGCGGUGAAAUGCGUAGAUAUUAGGAAGANCACCAGUGGCGAAGGCGACUUUCUGGACGAAAACUGACGCUGAGGCGCGAAAGCCAGGGGAGCGAACGGGAUUAGAUACCCCGGUUGUCCUGGCCGUAAACGAUGGGUACUAGGUGUAGGAGGUAUCGACCCCUUCUGUGCCGGAGUUAACGCAAUAAGUACCCCGCCUGGGGAGUACGACCGCAAGGUUGAAACUCAAAGGAAUUGACGGGGGCCCGCACAAGCGGUGGAGUAUGUGGUUUAAUUCGACGCAACGCGAAGAACCUUACCAGGUCUUGACAUUGAUGGACAGAACUAGAGAUAGUUCCUCUUCUUCGGAAGCCAGAAAACAGGUGGUGCACGGUUGUCGUCAGCUCGUGUCGUGAGAUGUUGGGUUAAGUCCCGCAACGAGCGCAACCCCUAUCUUAUGUUGCCAGCACGUAAUGGUGGGAACUCAUGAGAGACUGCCGCAGACAAUGCGGAGGAAGGCGGGGAUGACGUCAAAUCAUCAUGCCCCUUAUGACCUGGGCUACACACGUACUACAAUGGGAGUUAAUAGACGGAAGCGAGAUCGCGAGAUGGAGCAAACCCGAGAAACACUCUCUCAGUUCGGAUCGUAGGCUGCAACUCGCCUACGUGAAGUCGGAAUCGCUAGUAAUCGCAGGUCAGCAUACUGCGGUGAAUACGUUCCCGGGCCUUGUACACACCGCCCGUCACACCACGAAAGUCGGAAGUGCC